AGUGAACGCUGGCGGUAGGCCUAACACAUGCAAGUCGAACGGCAGCACAGGAGAGCCUGCUCUCUGGGUGGCGAGUGGCGGACGGGUGAGGAAUACAUCGGAAUCUACUCUGUCGUGGGGGAUAACGUAGGGAAACUUACGCUAAUACCGCAUACGACCUACGGGUGAAAGCAGGGGAUCUUCGGACCUUGCGCGAUUGAAUGAGCCGAUGUCGGAUUAGCUAGUUGGCGGGGUAAAGGCCCACCAAGGCGACGAUCCGUAGCUGGUCUGAGAGGAUGAUCAGCCACACUGGAACUGAGACACGGUCCGGACUCCUACGGGAGGCAGCAGUGGGGAAUAUUGGACAAUGGGCGCAAGCCUGAUCCAGCCAUACCGCGUGGGUGAAGAAGGCCUUCGGGUUGUAAAGCCCUUUUGUUGGGAAAGAAAUCCAGCUGGCUAAUACCCGGUUGGGAUGACGGUACCCAAAGAAUAAGCACCGGCUAACUUCGUGCCAGCAGCCGCCGUAA
rnacentral:rRNA from 1 species